rnacentral:rRNA from 1 species
CAUGUCUACGGGGGGCAGCAGUGGGGAAUAUUGCGCAAUGGGCGAAAGCCUGACGAAGCGACGCCGCGUGAGGGAUGAAGGUGUUCGGAUCGUAAACCUCUGUCAGCAGGGAAGAACGGUCACUGUGCUAAUCAGCAGUGAAUUGACGGUACCUGCAAAGGAAGCACCGGCUAACUCCGUGCCAGCAGCCGAGGUAAUACGGAGGGAGCGAGCGUUAAUCGGAAUUACUGGGCGUAAAGCGCUCGUAGGCGGUAUGUCAAGUCAAGGGUGAAAUCCCCGCGCCCAACGUGGGAACUGCCUUUGAA